UGGGGAAUCUUGCGCAAUGCGCGAAAGCGUGACGCAGCAACGCCGCGUGAGGGAAGACGGCCUUCGGGUUGUAAACCUCUUUCAGGAGGGACGAAGGUUCGCCCGCGAAUAGCGAGGCGGACUGACGGUACCUCCAGAAGAAGCCCCGGCUAACUACGUGCCAGCAGCCGCGGUAAUACGUAGGGGGCAAGCGUUGUCCGGAAUCAUUGGGCGUAAAGCGCGCGUAGGCGGCCCGGUAAGUCCGCUGUAAAAGUCAAAGGCUCAACCUUUGAAUGCCGGUGGAUACUGUCGGGCUAGAGUCCGGAAGAGGCGAGUGGAAUUCCUGGUGUAGCGGUGGAAUGCGCAGAUAUCAGGAGGAACACCAAUAGCGAAGGCAGCUCGCUGGGACGGUACUGACGCUGAGGCGCGAAAGCGUGGGGAGCGAACAG
rnacentral:rRNA from 1 species